GGAGCUCGGCUCCAGCCCCCGAGAUGUACAGGGCGAAGAGCUGGGGCCGCGGGCUCCCUGCAGGCUUUCCCCUCCUUGGCUGCGCUUGGGCGGGAGCCCCCGGCAAGGGGCUGGGGGAGGCGCCUCGCAACAGAUGGUUCAAGCCGGCUCCUGGCGCGGCCCGCAUUGGCCAGCGGCGCGGGAAAGGGCGGGCGGGCGCGCCGCAGUGGCGGCUCCGCGGAGGGGGCGCAGCGCCCACAGCCCAGCUCGCUCGCCUCCCGCCGGGGUGCCGAGACCACCUCCGCUGCGGAACGUUGGUCGCCUCUCACGGCUCCAGCACCUGUGAGUGUCCGCCCGGCCAGGCUGCGAGUGGUGCCGCAUCGACGCGCAGCCGGCCAGGGCCCCCGGGACUGCUCCGGCGGCGGGGCGUGAGGCCCUGAGGGCGCGAGGCCCGGAGGGCGCGGCUGCCGCCCGCGCUCGGGGCUGGGAGCCGGAGCUGCUGCCUCCUCCGGUCUAACCGCAUGCAUUCUGUAGAAACCACUAACAGAGAAGUUACUGUACUUCAAGUGGAAACCUCUGCAGAAGAUGUCAGCUAUUUGUGGUGGGAGCCUUAAAUGGAGUUUCAAGUUCUGAUCUUGAUGCAAGUUUUGGCAGGAGAACUCAUGAGCCACGUUUCUGAAGCUCUGCAUGAAGUGAAGAAAAGUAUUAGGUUUAUAAGUUACCAAUGCAUGUGCUAGAUGUCUCUGAAUUCUAGGAAGCCACACACUUGUAAUAAAAAUUUUACUGCAGAGAAUUAAAGGUCUUGAAGUCCUUGCUUAAUUCUGUUUAUUGUUUUAUUCUAUCUAAUCCUGUUUCAAGGUCUUAAGAUCAAUCUACUUUAAAAAAGUAAAUUGACCCCACUGGUUUGAAAUACAUUAUACAGGAUUCUUGAUAAUUCAUGCAGUCUUUCAAAACCCUCUUCUUUAGUGCAGACUGAUGCAUAUCUGUAGGGAACAAACAGGUUCUAAAUGUUUAUUUAGUAUUGCCAAUUCUUGCAGCAUUUGGGCUAUUGGGCUUCUCAUGUUAGAGCUG